rnacentral:rRNA from 1 species
GAGUAAUGUCUGGGAAACUGCCCGAUGGAGGGGGAUAACUACUGGAAACGGUAGCUAAUACCGCAUAACGUCGCAAGACCAAAGUGGGGGACCUUCGGGCCUCACACCAUCGGAUGUGCCCAGAUGGGAUUAGCUAGUAGGUGGGGUAAUGGCUCACCUAGGCGACGAUCCCUAGCUGGUCUGAGAGGAUGACCAGCCACACUGGAACUGAGACACGGUCCAGACUCCUACGGGAGGCAGCAGUGGGGAAUAUUGCACAAUGGGCGCAAGCCUGAUGCAGCCAUGCCGCGUGUAUGAAGAAGGCCUUCGGGUUGUAAAGUACUUUCAGCGGGGAGGAAGGCGGUGAAGUUAAUAGCUUCACCGAUUGACGUUACCCGCAGAAGAAGCACCGGCUAACUCCGUGCCAGCAGCCGCGGUAAUACGGAGGGUGCAAGCGUUAAUCGGAAUUACUGGGCGUAAAGCGCACGCAGGCGGUCUGUCAAGUCGGAUGUGAAAUCCCCGGGCUUAACCUGGGAACUGCAUUCGAAACUGGCAGGCUAGAGUCUUGUAGAGGGGGGUAGAAUUCCAGGUGUAGCGGUGAAAUGCGU